rnacentral:tRNA from 1 species
GCCUCUUUAGCUCAGUUGGUUAGAGCACCCGACUCAUAAUCGGUAGGUCGAUGGUUCAAGUCCAUCAAGAGGCACCA